rnacentral:misc_RNA from 1 species
AAGUCGUAACAAGGUCUCCGUUGGUGAACCAGCGGAGGGAUCAUUACUGAGUUCUACAAAACUCCCAACCCUUUGUGAAUUAUACCUUAGUUGCCUCGGCGUCGAGCGAGUCACCUACCCGGGAGCUACCCUGGAGUCACCUACCCUGUAGAACCUACCCUGUAGGACCUACCCUGUAGACGGCUACCCUGGAGCUACCCUGUAGUUGCACUUUUGCGUCGCCGGUGGACUACCAAACUCUUAUAUGUAUAGUGUAUCUCUGAAUUCUUAACAAAAUUAGUUAAAACUUUCAACAACGGAUCUCUUGGUUCUG